rnacentral:lncRNA from 1 species
GGGGACGCGGCGGCGGCAGUGCUGACAAUGGUGAGUGCGCGGCGGCCGGUGCGCUAGUCUCCCGCCUUCAGCUCGGAGCGCGCGGCGCGACGGCCAACGGCGGGCGCGGCGUCGCGUCAGGAAGGGGCGGGCGGGGAGCUGGGAGCAGGUUAGGCCUGUCCGGCUACCCCGGGUUCGGGGGAGUGCGAGCGGCGCCGCCUCUUCCCGGUCUCGAAGAGGCCCGAGGACCGGCAGGCGGCCGUGCCUCUCCUGGCCAUGUCGGAGCCUCUGCCGGCGUUCCUCGACCGGCUGUGGGGGCCCUGGCUGGGCACCCGGACCCCGCCCCUGCGGGGGCCCGCGGCCGCUUCCCCGCCCAAGGUAGCAGGUCCCUGCGCUGCUCCCCGGCAACCUCGCUUCCAUGCAGGUUGGGUGACCCAGAGUCCCCCAGUUCCGGCCUCUGGUGGACUUGGUCACUCUCCCUGUGUUAUGAGCUUGAUAAACUCCCUUAUUUUUUAUCCUGGGUACGGUGACUGUGAUUUCAUGACCCUACUUGAGGGUGGAGGUUGACACUUGUAGAAUGGGAGAGAAAGGGGUGUCUGAAUGGGGUGACGUUUUUAACUCCGAACACUGAGUUUCGUGUCCGCGGAUUUCAGCGUUGACUUCGUUUCCUUCCCUAAGCCGUUUCUUUAACUUAACGCUUCGGGAUGUUGAAAUGGCCUAGGAAGCAGAGGAGGGAGGGAAAUCAGUUUUCUAACCCCAGUUUGUGGGAAGCACAAACGUGGGCACGGUGGUGGUUAGCUUUGAGUGUCGGCAGCCUCCUCUAGAUUGGAUCUCAUUGGGCUCAUUUUACGGUAGCAUUCGUUUAUUCGUUUCAUUUGCUCUGCAUGCUUUGAGUGCCUACUAUGUGCUUUCCGUAUCCUACCUCCUUUCCCAAAGCUUGCCUUUUAAAUAAACUGAAACUUUUGGCUAACGGUCAAGCCAGUUUUUUUUUUUUUUAAGUUACUUUGAAUAAAUAACUUCUAAAGUCAGAAAUUGCUUUGCUUUCAUUUAAAGAAAAAAAAAAAGAUGUAUUCAUUUUUGGAGUUUUUUUCCUUUCAUUUAUUGUCCAGGGGCCAUAAACAAAACUGCUUGCUUUCUUUUAGCAUACAGUCUAAGGAGAGAUAAACAUUAAUUUGUGUAAACUGGUUGUUUAACGUGGAAAUUACAAUUGUGAUAAAUACUGAGAAGGAAUUGCUGGAGGAUUUCACCUAGUCAGGGAGUUGGGGAAGUCUUCUCUGAUUAUAAUUUGAAAAGAAAACUUUAUAAAACUCCAAUUUUUUGCUUAUAUGUGUAAUUAGUGUUUUUACUAAGCUUUCUGCAAUAUGUUAAAGAACAUGGUUUAUUUUCAAGUUACUUGUCAAACAAAUGAAAUUGUAAAACUUUGAAACGUUGAAAUGGCACAAAUGUAUGUGUGAAAAUAUGCUGUUUCAUUGUGUGUAGGCUAAGCAAAUAAAUUUUGAGAGUCUCCCUUCCACCUCACCUUGAUCUACAUUUCAUCCACCGGUCUUGGUGCACUUUGUUCUAUUAGGACUAAAAAAUGUCUUUUAUGUAUCCACAUGUAAUUUUGCUACAUGAUAAUGCUUAAUGUAGGGUUUACACAUUGUAUGAAAAAUCUUAAAUUAACCCAAAGUUAGUGAUUAAUAUGAAGUUUAGGCCAAGAUUAGAAAACUGAAAACGCUAUAAUGUUUUACUAGUAGUAUAUUGCAGUCUAGUUAUUUAAAAGUGACCUAGAAGUUUUAUUAUUUUCUUUUUUUGUUUUGCUGAUACUGGGGAUUGAGCCCAGGGCCUCACAUGUGCUAGGCAAGCCUCUACCAUUGAGCUACAUUACUAGCCCUAAGAGUUUUUUUGUUUUUAAUAUUUUUUUAAUUGUCAUUGGACUUUAUUUUAUUUAUUUAUGUAUGAUGCUGAGAAUCGAACUCCAGUGCCUAGGCAAGUGCUCUACCACUGAACCACAACCCCAGCCUUAGCCCUAAGAGUUUUAACUUGUAUUAUUAAUUGUGUAGUAUUGUUCUUGAACAUUCUUUUUUGGGGAUACUUGUAAAGACAAGUGCUCUGCCACUGAGCCAUAUCCCCAACCUGAAAAUCUCAUACUCCUAUUGCUCACUUGAAGUUGUCUUUGACAGAAGAUCUCAAUAGUAUUCUUUCAAAACUGCCUUCUGUUAUUUCAGCAAGUCUAAAGUAUCCUUUUUAUUAUAUUUUCUUUUUCCUAUUUUUAUACUGGGGAUUGAGCCACAUCCCCUGCCCUUUUUAAAAUUUUUUUAUUUUGAAACAGGGUCUUGCUAAGUUACCUAGGGCCUCCCUAAGUUGCUGAGACUGGCUUUGAACUUUCAAUCUGCUUGCCUCAGCCUCCCUAAAGUUGCUGGGAUUACAUGUGUGCACCACUGCAUUGGGCUGUUUUUACAAUUUUUGUUCCCUUCCUUUCUUGUAUUUUACUUUCUCUUUAACAUAUCAGAAGUAUUAUAAUUUGAUUGUGAAUAAUUAGAAUUAAAUAUCAUGACUUUUUAUUUGAAAUGUGAGAAUAUAUAAUCUUGAAAUAAAAUAAAACCAAGACCUUGGGUAAAGAAUCUUUUACUUUAAACGGCUUUUAGAAAACAAAAAAGACAAGUUCUUUUCUCAGUUUUUUUUUUCUGUUGUUGACUUGUGAAAUAUAACACUUUUUUGGAGUGUUCUUUUGAGUAAAACUAUAGGUUCAUUUUUGAUAUGUCCCAAUAUUAAAAAAAAAAAGCUGUAUGUUAACCCAAUGCUAAAAUCUUAUGGCAUAGUUAACUUGUUAAAAUGCUAUAGUUUAUUACUCAACCUAACUCUUUGGCAUGUGCUAUUUUUUGUUAUACCUUUUUUUUUUUUUUUUUAGUUGUAGUUGGACACAAUACCUUUAUUUCACUUAUUUAUUUUUAUGUGGUGCUAAGGAUCGAACCCAGGGUCUCACAAGUGUGAGGUGAGCGCUCUACCACUGAGCCACAACCCCAGCCCCUUGUUAUACCUUCUGAUUCCUCACCAUUUUAACUUUAAAAAAAGUUUUAUUAUUUAUUGAUGGACCUUUAUUUAUUUAUUUGUUUAAAUGUGGUGCUGAGGAUUGCAUCCAGUGCCUCACACAUGCGAGGCAAAUGCUUUACCACUGAGCCACAACCCCAUCCCCAUUUUAACUUUUUUUUAUUGUAUUGAGAAGGAAGUCUGUUUUUUUUUUUUUUUUUCAUUUUUAGUUCUGAAAUAUUUAAUGCAUAUAGAAAAUAAUGUAGUACAUAACACCUAGAUUUUUCUUUUUCUUCUUUUGGUAUUGGAAAUGCACUCAGGAUUGUUUAACCACUGAGCCAAACCCACAGAUAUUUUUAUUUUAUUUUUUAAAUUUUGAGACAGGAUCUCACUAAAUCCUGAGAGCCUCAAUAAUUUGCUAAGGCUGGUCUUGAACUUGCAAUCCUCCUGUCUCACCCUCCCAAACUGGGAUUACAGGUGGUGUAUGAUACCAUGCCUAGCUGCAUGUAUUUUUAAUGCCUAGGAAUUUUUAAUUUUUAAGAAUUGGUAUCAGGACAAUACUUUUUGUGUAUGAUUAUUAAUUGUGUAGUUUUCUAAAACUAAGUCUUUUGGCAAUUUUAAUUAGCGCUGAUUUUAAUUUUGCUAAAAUUGUUUUUAUUUAUUUUGGGAGGGGGAACUGGGGAUAGUACUUAGGGACACUCGAUCACUGAGCCACGUCCCCAGCCAUAUUUUGUAUUUUAUUUAGAGACAGGGUUUCACCGAGUUGCUUAAUGCCCCACUUUUGCUGAGGCUGGCUUUGAACUCACUAUCCUCUCUUCUCAGCCUCCCAAGCUGCUGGGAUUACAAGCAUGUGAAACCGUGCCCAGACAAAAUUGUAUUUAAUUUUUGAUUAUUUGAUUUUUGUUAUUUUUCAAAUACCAAGUGCAGCUCUGUUAAAUAUUAUAAUAAUAUAUAAUGUUAUAAAAAACUGUUAGAAAACAGUUUUUAUAGUUUUCACAAUUUAUUUUUCCUUGAAGUAGCCUUGGUAAGUGUCGGGUUAAAAAUUAAUAUUUCUGCCUUAAUUUUGUAACUCAAAUGAAUUGAUGUUGUGGGUGUCACAAGGGAGAAGAACUCAUUUUCUUCUUACCCUCACUGCCAGUUGGUGUUCUCUUUUUCUGCACCUGACUUUGUUUCCCCAAUUAAAAUAGCUACUUGGAGAUGUUGCUUUUAUCCUUUCAUAAGUGAUCUAUCUGCAGUAGUCUCCUCUCUUGUUGGCUCAGUGGUUAAUAGUGCACAUAGUUAAUAAUUAGUGGAUUGAUUUUGAACUGUUGUACAUCUUUUUAAAAAAAAUUUUUUUAAGUUGUUGAUGGACCUUUAUUUUUUUUAUUUAUUUGUAUGUGGUGCUGAGAAUCGAACCCAGUGCCUCAUGCAUGCUAGGCAAGCUCUCUACCACUGAGCCACAACCCCAGCCCUCCUCCCCUCCAAACUGUUGUACAUCUUAUCUGUAGUCUUCUCUUAGGAGAACAUGUAGUAUUUUAAAAUUUGCCUUUUUUGAGUAGGUUUUGAGUUUUAAGACUUAGAGUGUGAACACUAACUAGAAUAGAUAAUGCAGGUAACCUAUCAUUGAAGUUUUUCAUUCUCUCUAAAUUAGUUCAUUGUAGUUUUCUGAUAACAAUUUUGAGUUUGUUGUUCCCAGAAAAGACUAAAACAUCACGUCAAAAAGAAAAUUUGGGGGGAUGGGGGUUGUAGCUUAGUGGUAGGGGGCUUGCCUAGCUGUGUGAGGCACCGGGUUCAAUCCUCAGCACCACAUAAAGAUAAAUAAAUAAAGGUAUUGUGUUCAUCUACAACUAAAAAAAAUAUUUUUAAAAAAAGAAAAUUUGCUAUUUGGAAUAUAUCAAAAACACUAAUUUGGCAAUUCUUGUAGUUUCUUGAAAGUAUAAGCCCACCCUUUUAAUAUAGGAGUAAUGAAAACAAAGAAGCAAGUCCACAUUUUGGGAAAACACUGUCUCAUUUGAUCAUAGCCUACAAAGCCUUUUGGAGGCUCAUUAUCUUGCUUGCCAUUCCCUGGCCACCUCAGGACAGAGCUGACCUUGUCUGUGCUUGAGUUCCAUGCUCUAGGCUUCACUAUUAACACCAGUGCUAAUUUGUUGGGAAAGGGCUGGCAUUACCACCUAUUCUAGAUAUCAUCCAACUUCUUUUGUAUAGUCAGUUUUUUCCCUAUUAUUAGAAUGGUAUUUGUAUGUUUAAAUUUAACAUUCCAAUAGGUAUUUCAGUGCCUUCUAUUAAAUGCCACUACUGCUCUAGGUCCUGUCUCUUCAGUGAGGAAUAAAGGAUAUGGUGUCCUCACAUAGUUUACAGUGUAGUAGGAGUGUCAGGCAGUAAAAUCAGCCUUGCGACACCUAACUUUGGAGAAUCCAGUUUGGAUUAGGGAGUUAGGGAGAGUCUUAUGAAAAUGACUCAAACUUAAAUUAAAAGGAUGAGUUAGGUUAAGGUACUUUGCUUGACUCUAGGACAAAGAAUUUGGCAAAUGUGAUGAACUUUUGCAGAAAAAUCUUAAGAUCAUUUGAGGCUGAUGUAACUGAAGAGAUGUACAGAGCUAUGUAAGAUGUUACAGAAUGCAGUGUGUGUAUGUGUACUAUUGAAGUUAACAUUAUGUAUAAGGAUAUAGCUUGAUGAAUUUCAUAAAGUGAACAUGCCUGUGUGUCAAGUGCUCAGAACAGAGAACAGUACUAGCACCCCACUUAUUUUAUUCUUCCUCCCACUUCUUAACUUCUAAUAUUACAAUGUACAGGGGCUGGGGAUGUGGCUCAAGCGGUAGCACGCUCGCCUGGCAUGCGUGCGGCUCUGGGUUCCAUCCUCAGCACCACAUACAAACAAAGAUGUUGUGUCCGCCGAAAACUAAAAAAAAAUAAAUAUUAAAAUUCUCUCUCUCUUUUAAAAAAAAAAACAAUGUACAUUACAUGUUUUUGACUUAUAUGUAUAUGAGAUCAAAACAGAAUGUAUUCUCCUGUGUGGCCUCUUGGACUCUUUAAUUCAACUUUUUUUUGUUGUUGUUGUUGAUAGAUGUUUGGAUUGUUUCCAUUGGAGGCUGUUGUAAACAUAUUUGUCUCCUGUAAGUUUCUGUUUAGGAAUAUAUCCAGGGAUGGAAUUGUUGGGUUAUGGGAUGUAUACAUCUUCAGCUUUACUAGAUCAUGCCAAACUAUUUCCUAAAGUAGUUCUAAUUUAUAAGUUCACCAGCCCAUGGAAAUAUUUUAUAAACAGGAAAUGAUAUGAUCAAAUUUAUGUUUUUUAAAGACUACCCUGCUUGUUGUAUAGGGUAAGUUAAAAAGGGAUAUAGUACAUGAUAGAAGACUAUUAUCUUGUAAAUUAAAAAAAAAAACAAAAAAAUCCCCAAAAUAGACUAGAAGACUGGCUGGCUUUCCUUAGUGACAAAAUAAUUUUUGGCUUGUUUGUUUUUGUACUGGGGAAUUGAACCUAGGGGUGCUUUAUCACUGAACUACAUCCCCAGUCUUUUUCUUUUUUCUUUUGAGACAAGGUCUUUCUAAGUUGCUAAGGGUCUUGCUAUGUUUCUGAUGCUUCCCUUGAGCUUGUGAACCCCCUGCCUCAGCCUUUCAAGUCGCUGAGGGUAGAGGCCUUCACCAAUGUGCCUGAUGACAAAAAUAAUUUUAAUUAUAUCCUAUACUAUAGUUGCUAAUGGAUUCUGUUCAUAUUACUUGAUUAUUACCAACUAAUAUGUUUUGGCAUUGAUAAGCAAUUGAUUUUUGUUCUUUAUAGUUCUGUCAUAUCGAGGAUUUACAGAAUAAGGCUUGUAUAAAUUGGAGAAAUUUCAUUGGUUUCCUCAGAGCCAGCUUUUACACACACACACACACACACACACACACACACAUUUUUAGUAGUAGGUGGACACAAUUCCUUUAUUUUAUUUGUUUUUAUUUUUAUGUGGUGCCAGGGAUCGAACCCAGUGCCUCACACAUGCUAGGCAAGCUCUUUACCACUGAGCCACAACCCCAGCCCCUAGAGCCAGUUUUACUCAAAGGGCUUAUAUAAUGUAACACAUUCUGUUUAGACCUAAUAUAGCAGUAGAUUUUAUAGUAAGUGCAUUAUAAUAAUUCAUUUCAGCUUUUUAGAAGUAAUUUGGAUUAUGCAAAUUCUGCUCUCAUGAAAACUCAUAGAGGUUUAAUAAAAGUUAAUUUUUCAAACUUAAGAUGUUAAGAUGGCUGGGCUCGUGGUGCUCGCCUAUAAUUGCAGCGGCUCAGGAGGCUGAGAAAGGAGGAUCUCAGGUUCAAAGCCAGCCUCAGCAAUGGUGAAGCUAAGCAACUCAGUGAGACUCUAUCUCUAAAUAAAAUACAAUAUAGGGCUGGGGAUAUGGCUCAGUGGUCAAGUGUCCCUGAGUUCAAUCCCUGGUACCCCACCCCCACCCUGCCCAAAAAAGAAUUCUUACAGUUCUAGUAUGCUAGUAUUUGAUUAUUUAUAAUGGUUACCUAUGGAAAUGAUUGAAAUUAUAACAUAUUUAAUUGUUUAUAUUUUUCCCUUUUUGGUGAUUAAAAAAAACCUAUAAAAUGAAAUCUUUUAAUCUAACUUAAAAAAGUGUAUAGUACAGUACUGUUCACUGUUUACACAUUAUUAUAUUCAGUUUGUAAAGUUUUGAUGUAGAAUUUGAUGUAAGCUUGUGAACUCACAGAUUUGGAGUCUAACUGUAGGUCGAUGGUGUAAUAAAAUUUGAAUUUAAAAUGUUGUGACUGGCUGCCUACGAUAAUUAUGAGCAUUUUUAUUUUAUUUCAGAGUUUUCUUGGAGGCUUUUUUGGUCCCAUUUGUGAGAUUGAUGUUGUCCUUAAUGAUGGAGAAACCAGGAAAAUGGCAGAAAUGAAAACUGAAGAUGGCAAGGUGGAAAAACACUAUCUCUUCUAUGAUGGAGAAUCAGUUUCAGGAAAGGUAAAUCUUUUGUUUGGCAGAAUUACCUAGUUGUAGGAUAUUGGAAUUACUCAUCAAAAUGAUCUGCACUGUGUCUAAAUUUGAGCUCCAGAUGAAUUAUUACAGUGAUUUAAAAAAAUUAUUUGGUUUAAUUAGUUAUACAUGAAAUUAGAAUGCAUUUAUGCAUUUUGAUAUUCUGUACAUAGAUGGAAUAUAAUUUCUCAUUUUUCUGAGUGUACAUGUUGCAGAAUCAUUGGUCAUGUAGUCAUAUAUGUACAUACAUAAAGUAUUAGAGACGGAAUUUUUUUCUCCAAAGGUCAGCUAAAAUCUUUGAUUAGAACAUUUAGAAAGACUCUUAAUCCUGGAAGAAUUCUAAGUUACUCAAAAUAAUUCUCUCUUUUUUUGAUUGUGAAUUUGUUUAGCUUUGGAAAGUUUGUUUAGCUUUGGAAAGUUUGUCUAGCUUGGAGAGUUUCUCCAGAAUAGAGUUGUGAUCCUCUCAACAUUUGCUUCCCUUUCAACAUACAGUUGAGUUGUAGAGAUUGCAGUAACUCUGGUGUGCCAUUCUAAAGGUUUCUCAUUCUUUGUAACUUACCUCUCUAUAUUAUUCUUGUGUCUGUUGAUCUUAUUUUUGGUACUCCAUUGAAGACCUAAGUAUUUUUGGAAUGUGUUUGUGUGAAGGCAUCUGUAUGUCAGAUUCUGCAAGAUUUCACUUUUCCCCCCUUUUCCUUAUACACUGAUAUGUAAGAUUAUUCUUAAACCUUAGGGAAUAGGAUCAAUACUCAUUAGCUUGAGAUACUAGAGAAUAGUAAUAUCAUAGACAAAAGCAAGCUAUAAAACAUUUGAAAUAAUUUUUAAAAUACAAAAUGUUAGGAUUUUUCUUUCUUGCUUCUUCAAUUAAUUUAUACAUGUGGUAGGCAGUUUGGGAAAAUAAGGUAUAAUUCUAUUAUGGAAAUAAUUCGCAGUUAAAUUUGAAUGUGUCUUCUCUAAGUUUCCCUGUUUUUGUUUAUAUAUUUGUAGCACAGUCUUAUGUCAUUUAAUGACAGAGAUAUGUUUUUGACAGAUGUGUCUUUAUAGCCUUUUUUUUUUUUUUUGAUGGUGGUGCUGGGGAUUGAACCUAGGGCCUUGUGCAUGCAAGGCAAGCACUCUACCCACAGAGCUAUAUCCCCAGCUUGACAGAUGUGUCUUUAGGUGAUUUGGGCAUUGUGUGAGCAUAAUAGAAUGUAUGUGCACAAACCUAGUGGUAUGAAGUUCUACACACCUAGGCUAUAUGGUAUAGGCUACUUAAAUUUUUUUUUUUUUCACUUUUUAAGUUUUUUUAUUGUUGAAAACUAAGAUACAAAUAUAUUAGCCUAGGCUUACACAGAAUCAGAAUUAUCAACAUCAUUGUCUUUGAUUUUCCCAUCUUGUCCCACUGGAAGGUCUUCAGGGGCAAUAACAUAGUUGGAACUGUCAUCUCCUAUUAUAACAAGUGCCUUCUGGAAUCCCUCCUUAAGGACCUGCCUGUUUUACAGUUAUCAUUAUUUUUUUUAAUAAGUAGAAGGAGUACACUCUAAUAAGUAUAGAAAAUAUGAACCAGUAAAUAGUCAUUUAUUAUCAUUAUCAGUUUUUAUAUACUAUGUAUAAUUGUAUAUGCAGUAGGUUUGUUUACUCCAGUAUUACUAAAAGCAUGUACGUAAUAAUUUGCAGCAUCAUGAUGGCUACUCAGUUACUAGGUGAUAGAAAUUUACUCACUUUAUUAUAAUCUUAAGGUACCACCAUAUGCAGUUUGUCCUUUGUGGGAAGCCAUCCUGACACGUGACUGGGCGACUCCCGUUAAGGGUCUGAGGCUUCUGGCUGUGUCGGAAUAUUCCCGGCCCUUUCCUGAUGAGAGAACCCGUCCGUGUGGGGGUGUGACUGACCACUGACCCCGGGGGCCCAAUCACUGACCCUGACCUUGGAGUGCAGUCCCCCCUCAACCUUCAUUGGAUGGAAUUAUCCCCUGAAUUUCUUGUUCCCCAAUAAAAGGCUACUCCCUGGCGUGUUCACUCUCUCUCUCCUGCUAGCCCUGAGUAAUCCUUGCUGCCCUGCUGGGCGGUUAGAGGUUGGAGUCAGAGAGGGGAGCUGUCUCGGACCUGGCAAUAGAAAUAAGGUAACUGAGUCUGUGUGUUUUAUUUCGAUCUCUUCUAACUAACUUUAUGCCAAGAACCUCAUUAAUGAAACCAUUGCGCAGGCCACGUGGUAGAGUCCUUGACCAAAUUAUCAUGUGGUACAUGAAAGUAGUUUCUAGUUUUGUUUUUUUUUUUGUUUUUUUUGGCAGAGCUGGAGAUUGAACCCAGGGCCUUGUGCAUGCAAGGCAAGCACUGUACCAACUGAACUAUAUCCCUAGCCCCAUUAGUUUCUAGUUUUUAAGAUAGCUUUUAGUAUAUAAUAUCAUCUUUGAUAAUAUGGACAUCUGUAUGCAUACAUUUUUCUCCAGAUUCUACAGGUCAAGAUUGUUUACUUAGAAUAGAUUCCUGGAAAAAGUUGCUGGGCCAAAAGACAUGAGUAUUUGCAGGGUCGUAAUACAUAUUAAUUUGGAAAAUUUAUGUGCGUUAAAUUACAUGAUCUACAUAUAUUGUCUUGUUUCAUUCAAGGAAGCAUUGAAUAUGAUCACUUUAUUUACACAAUAUAUUUAUUUUGUUUAUUUGUUUUAUGUUGUGCUGGGAAUUGAACCCAGUGCCUUGUGCAUGCUAGGCAAGCACUCUACCACUGAGCCCAGCCCGAAUAUGAGCACUUUAUAAUGUAAUGUGGUUCAGUGGUUAAGUGCCUCUGGGUUCAAUCCCGCCCCCCCCCCCCCCCAAUUUAUGGAAUAUAAUAACCUUGCCUACAUUUUCAUUUUUUAGUUAUAGGUGGACACAAUAUCUUUAUUUUAUUUUUAUGUGGUGCUGAGGAUCGAACCCAGUUUCUUACAACGCUAGGCAAGUGCUCUACCUCUGAGCCAGGACCCCAGCUCCCAUUUUCUGUUUUUUAAUAUUUCGGAUUUAUUGUCUUUAGUAUAAAGUCUUGCUGACAAAGCCUAAUUUUAUUUCACUUAAAUGUUGUAAUGCCCUUUUUGCCUUGAUACCCAAAGGAUAUCUUUUUCUCUCUUAUUUUUUUGUGGUGCUGGGCCUCAUACAUGGUAGGUAAGUACUCUACCACUGAUCUACAGUUCAAGCCAACAUUCUCCCCCCUCCUUUCUUUCUUUCUCUGGGGAUUGAACCCAGGGGCGUUUUAACCACUGAGCCACAUCCCAGCUCUUUUUACUUUUUAUUUUGAGACAGGGUCUUGCUUAAUUGCUGAGGCUGACAUUAAAUUUGUAUCCUCCUGCCUCAGCCUCCCAGGUAGUUGGGACUACAGGUAUGGGCCACCAUGUCUUGCUAAUAUUUUUGUUUAUAGAUGAGGUAAUAGUGGUUCAUAGGUUGAAUAGCAUGUUUGAAAAUGUACAAUCAUUGGUGUGAGUAAAACAGGUUACAGGAUAAUAUACUAUACUAUUUUUUUUCUUUUUUACAGUAUUGGGGAUUAAAUCCAGGAGUGCUUUACUACUGAGCUCUAUCACCAGUCCUUUUUUUUUUUUUUGAGACAGGGUAUUGUCUAGUUGCUGAGGCUGAACUUGCAAUCCUCCUGCCUUUGAAGUACCUGGAAUUACAGGUAUACACCAUUAUACCUGGCAGGAAAACAUUUUACAUUUAGAAUAAGAAAAUAAAUAAGGAAAGAAUAUGCUUGGCAUGUCAUUUAUUGUAAUAUAACAAAUGCAAAAAAAAAAAAGAGUUAAUAUUUUGCUUUUUUUUUUUUUUUAAAGAGGGAGAGAGAGGGGGAGAGAAAGAGAAUUUUUUUUUUAAUAUUUAUUUUUUACUAUUUGGCGGACACAACAUCUUUGUCUGUAUGUGGUGCUGAGGAUCGAACCCAGGCCGCACGCAUGCCAGGCAAGUGCGCUACCGCCUGAGCCACAUCCCCAGCCCAAUAUUUUGCUUUUUUUAACAUCUAAAUUGUUUUUUAAUUGGAAAAGGUAGAAUCAUUAGAGUAAAAGCUAAUUAUAAUUAUGAAAAGUAAAAAUAAUCUAGUUUUAAAACAUUCUGGUGGCUAGAUCAGAUGAAUGUUAUGCUAUAUAGUACAGAGAGAAUUUUGUAGAACUGAUUGCAGAAAUCCCUCAGUAAUUCUGGAAAAUGAGAAAAGUUUUAGAAUAUAGGAAGAUACAAUAUUAUAUAUUUAAAAUGAGGUAAACAAUUUAUAUUAGUUAAACUUAAUAUUGAUUCCUGGUAUAACUGUAGAAUGGAUGAUUUAUGAGCAGUUUGAAAUGAAAACUUAAAACAAGCAUUCAUUAUAUGUGAUCCAGUAUGUGUAAGAACAGGUCUUAUCUCACAAGUGUGCUAGUGUAAUAAAAAGAUGAUUGGGAUACAGUUGUAAUAUUUAGCCUUUACUUGUCUAUUCUUUUAAUAGGAAUUCUGGAGAGUCAUUUAACUUCCUGGAUUUCACCAACAAAUUGUGGAAGUUAAACUGGAUCAUUGGUUUCCAAACUUGGCUUUGCAUCUCUUUGGUAUCUUCAUAUAUUUAGUAUUAUCUUGGAUCUUAGAGGUUUGACAUGCACCCAAAGGAAGAAUAAUUUCCUUUUAUAGUAUUCCUGAUUUGUUAGUUUCCGUAUGCUCACUUUACAGGAUGGGAAUUCUAUUAUUCUGAAACCACUAUCCACCCUGCUGUUUAGAAAUAUACAUAAUAAAUCUUUCUCUUUUUUUCUGAACCACUGUCUUGUUUAUCAUAAGUCUUCUCUAAAUUAAAUAUGCUAUUUUCCAUUUCCUUUAUUCCUGAGGAAAUAUGGAUUUUGAGUCUUAAUCAUCCUGAUUGCUUUCUUUUAGGAGGAUUGAGUUAUCUGGCAUUCCUGUGUUUCCAGAGCCUGAAACCAUAUUUAAUUCAGCAACAAUGGAACUGUAGACUUUUUAAAACAUUUAAGUCAGUUCUACAUUCUUGUAAGCAUUCCACAGCUCUCCCCAUAAAAUGACUGGGCUACCAUUUACAUUAGUAUUUCUAAAAUGAAAUACUUAGGUGUAACAAAAUAUGUACACUGUCUGUAUGAGGAAAACUAUAAAACUUUGAUGGGCUGGGGCUAUAGCUCAGUGGCAAAGCGCUUGCCUCGCAUGUGGGAGGCACUGGGUUCGAUACUCAGUACAACAUAAAAAAAUACAAAAAUAAAAUAAAAGUAUGCUGUCCAUCUACAACUACAAAAAACCAAAAAAACCUGUAAACUUUGAUGAAAGAAAUCAAAGAUAAAUAAACAGAAAGAUAGUCUAUGUUAAUAGAUCGGAAGACACAAUAUUAAGAUAUCUGUUUCUCACCUGAUCUAUAGAUUCAACUCUAUCCCCAUAAAAAAUUAGACACUUUACUUUGUAGUUAUCAAUAAACAGAUUCUAAAAUUUAUAUAUAAAUACAAAAGUGUAUGUAAAUAGUAAGUAAUAUUGAAGAAGAACUAAGUUGGAGAACUGACAUUACCGAGUUUCAAGACUUACUACACAUAGUAUACUCAAGACAGUCUGGUAUUGGUGAGAGAAGAGAGAAAUAAAUCAAAGGGAUGAAGUAGAGUCCAGAAAGACCCACACAAAUAUAGUGAACUGCUCUUUGAUAAAGGAGCAAAGACAAUUUAAUGGAAAACAAAUACAUUUUUUUUUUAACAAAUGGUGCUGGAACAGAUAGAUUUUAGAUAUAACACCAAAGGCAUGGUCCAUGAAAAAGGACUGUAAGGUGGACUUUGUGAAAAUGUAAAUACUUCUGCUUUGAGAAACACAGUUAAAGAUGAAAAGAUAAGCCAUAUUUACAAAACACAUCCAAUAAAGAACUUUUAUCUAGCUAGGCACUGUGGUGCACACUGUUAAUCCCAGCUACUUGGAAAGUGGUGACAGGAGGAUGGCAGAUUUAAGGCCAUCCUCAGCAAGUUAGAAUACCCUGCCUCAACAUACAAUAAAAAAGGCUGGGGGUAUAGCUCAGUGAUAAAGUGCCUCCCUAGCCUAUGCAAGGCCUUGGGUUCAUCCUCAGUUAUCUCAGAAGGAGAGGCUGGUGGUGGUAUUUGGGGGGACACUUGUAUCCAAAAUACACAAAGAACUCUUAAAACUCAACAAUCCAGUUAAAAUGUGGGCAAAAGAUCUGAACAGACACCUUACCAAAAAUGAUAUACAUAUGACAAAUACAUGUGGAAUGAUAUUUAACACUAUAGCAUUAGGGAAUUGCAAAUUCAAACAGUAAUGAGAUACCUGUUGAAAUGGCAAAAAUCCAACAUUGAGAAGAUCAAAUUAUGGUGAGGAUGUGAACCAACAGGAACUCACUCACAGGCAGUGAACAAAUGCAGAAUGGCAUAGCCAGCUGGGUGUGGUGGUGCUCACCUGUAAUCCCAGCUACUCAGGCUGAGGCAGGAAGAUUGAAAGUUUAAGGCCAGCCUGGACCUUGUCUCAAAAACUAAAAUGGGUUGGGGAUCAUGCUUCUUAGGAUUCACCCAAAUUGAAAGCACAUGUCUGCACAUGUGUACUUAUAACAGCUUUAUUUAAAUUACCCAAACUUGGAAACAAUCAAGAUGGCCUUCAGAAAGGGGGAAAAAAAGUCAUUUAAAAAAAUAGGUACUUGGGGCUGAGGUUGUGGCUCAGUGAUAGAGUACCUGUCUAGCACGUGCGAGGCAUUGUGUUCUAUCCUCAGCACCACAUAAAAAUACAUAAGUAAAAUAAAGGUAUUGUGUCCAACUAUGACUAAAAAAUAAUUUAAAAAAAAGUACUUGAUUUUGUCAUAGAAGUUGACUAGUUGUUUUUCAUUUGGAUAUCCAGUUGACUCAGGCAUUUAUUGAAAAACUAUCCUUUAUCACUUCACCAUAAUGCCACCUUUGUCACACAUAGAUAGAAAUCAUUUGGGGUCUGUUCUGGCCUCUGUUCCAUAGGCCCAUUUGUGGCAUAUACUUUUCACUUUUCUUUUGUAACAUUUUUUUUUUUUUUUGAGAUGGAGUGUUGCUAAGUUGCUAAAGUUAGUCUUGAACUUGAGAUCCUCUUGCCUUAGCUUUCUGAGGUGCUGGGAUUACAGGCAUGUGCCACAAUGUCUGGUUUGCUUUUCUUUUUUUUUUUUUUAAUUAGUUGUUCAAAACAUUACAAAGCUCUUGACAUAUCAUAUUUCAUACAUUUGAUUCAAGUGGGUUAUGAACUCCCAUUUUUACCCCGUAUACAGAUUGCAGAAUCACAUCGGUUACACAUCCACAUUUAUACAUACUGCCAUACUAGUGUCUGUUGUAUUUUGCUGCCUUUCCUAUCCCCUACUAUCCCCCCCCUCCCCUCCCCUCCCCUCUUCUCUUCUCUCUCUACCCCAUCUACUGUAAUUAAUUUCUCUCUCUUGUUUUUUUUUUUUUCCCUUUCCCCUCACCUCCUCUUAUAUGUAAUUUUGUAUAACAAUGAGGAUCUCCUUCCAUUUCCAUGGAAUUUCCCUUCUCUCUCCCUUUUUGUUAAAAAAAAUUUCUCCCUUUUCUUAAAAAAAUAAAAAAGAAAGGGAAAAAAGUAGUCUUUUUGAGUGGUAAGUCACAUAACAUAAAAUUCAUCUUGUGGAGGUUAGUGGUAUUUACUAUGUUGGCAGACUUAUGUAACAUCACAACUAUCUAAUUUCAAAAAGAAACUUCAUACAAUUAGCAGUCACUCCCUGUGAACUCUGCAAAUCUACUUUCUCAAUUUUUGUCUAUUCUGGAUAUUUCAUGAAUGGACGCAUACUCUGUGGCCUUGUCUGGUUCCUUUCACUUAGCAUAAUCUUUUGAAGGUUCAUCAGGGUGUAGUAAAUAUAGUAUGAAGUACUAUAUUUUUUUUUUUACUAUGAAGUAAAAAAAUAUAUAUGUAACAUGUACCAUUUUACCAUCUUAAAGUAUACAAAUUCAGUAACAUUAAUUAUGUUAAUAAUUUGGCAUUCAUAGUUGCUAUUUUCCAAAGGUUUUUCAUUACCCCAAACAGAAACUUUGUAUCCAAUUNNNNNNNNNNNNNNNNNNNNNNNNNNNNNNNNNNNNNNNNNNNNNNNNNNNNNNNNNNUUUUUUCCCUUUCCCCUCACCUCCUCUUAUAUGUAAUUUUGUAUAACAAUGAGGAUCUCCUUCCAUUUCCAUGGAAUUUCCCUUCUCUCUCCCUUUUUGUUAAAAAAAAAUUUCUCCCUUUUCUUAAAAAAAUAAAAAAGAAAGGGAAAAAAGUAGUCUUUUUGAGUGGUAAGUCACAUAACAUAAAAUUCAUCUUGUGGAGGUUAGUGGUAUUUACUAUGUUGGCAGACUUAUGUAACAUCACCACUAUCUAAUUUCAAAAAGAAACUUCAUACAAUUAGCAGUCACUCCCUGUGAACUCUGCAAAUCUAUUUUUGUCUAUUCUGGAUAUUUCAUGAAUGGACGCAUACUCUGUGGCCUUGUCUGGUUCCUUUCACUUAGCAUAAUCUUUUGAAGGUUCAUCAGGGUGUAGUAAAUAUAGUAUGAAGUACUAUAUUUUUUUUUUUACUAUGAAGUAAAAAAAUAUAUAUGUAACAUGUACCAUUUUACCAUCUUAAAGUAUACAAAUUCAGUAACAUUAAUUAUGUUAAUAAUUUGGCAUUCAUAGUUGCUAUUUUCCAAAGGUUUUUCAUUACCCCAAACAGAAACUUUGUAUCCAAUUAAUUGUCCCCCAUAUUCCCCUUCUCCCAACUUCUGGUAAACUUUAAUCCACUUUGUCAGUUUGCCUAUUCUAGAUAUUUUGUAAAAGUGGUCAUAUUUAUCCUUUAGAGCUUGGAUUAUUUCAUGUAGCAUAUUUCCAGGGAUCACCCAUAUUAUAGCAUGUAUCAGAAUGCCAUUUUUUGACUGAAUGAUAUUCCAGUAUACCAUACUCAUGUGUAAAAGAAUUUACCACAUUUUAUGUAUUCAUUUACUAGCUGAGGAUAUUUGGGCUUUUACUUUUUGGUAUUGAGAAUAAGCUGCUAUGGACAUUGAAGUACAAAUUUUAUGUAAACAUAUAUAUAUUCACUUCUCUUGGUUUUAACUUAAGAGUGGAAUUGCUAGGUCAUAUUUCAAGUCUGUGUUUCACUUUCCCAAAGCAGCUGCACCAUUUUGCAUUCCCUCCAGCAAUGUACGAAGGUUCUAUUUCUCCACUUUCUUGGCGAUACUUUUUUUUUUUUUUUAAAUUAGGGCAUCUAAAGUGGAUGUAAAAUGGUAUCUCAUGGUUGUGACUUGCAUUUCUCAAUUAACUGAUAACAUUGAGUAUUUUUUUUUCUUGUGCUUUGUGUCAUUCAUAUAUCUUCUUUGAAGAAAAGUCUGUUCAAAUCCUUUGACCUUUUUUUUUUUUUUCCUUUUGGUGGUACUGGGGAUUGAACCCACUACCACUAAGCUACAUCCCUAGCCCUUUUUAUUUUUAUUUUAUGACAGAUUGUCUUGCUAAAAAAGUUGCUGAGUUUGGCCUGGAACUUGAGAUCCUCCUGCCUUUGCCUCCUGAGUCUCCACACCUGGCAUUAACCAUUUGAGUUAAUGCUUGUGUAGAGUUCUUUUUUUUUAAAUUUUUUUAGUUGUUGAUGGACCUUUAUUUUAUUCAUGCGGUGCUGAGAAUCCAACCCAGUACCUCAUACAUGUGAAGCAAGCGCUCUACACUGAGCCACGACCCCAGUCCUUGUGUGGGGUUUUAACUUCAUUCUUUUAAAUGCUGAUAUUUAUUUUCCCUGGCAUCACUUAUUGGAAAGAAUAUUCUUACUCCAUUGAAUUGUUUCGGCACCUUUGUGGUAAAUGCUUUUAAAAGUUAAAAACUGAUAAUGUUGUCUGUCAGAAGUCUUUUGGAGUAUUUUUGAAGCAUUCUUUAAGAUAAUUAGAAAUUUUUUAGAUUAUUAAAAAAUAGGAAAAUUAUUAAAAGCUACUUAUUCAGGUUCUUUUUAUCCUUACCUUGGAUAUUUACUGCUUUGGUUCAUGUCAAAUGGCAAUUGGACUGUACCCAAUUUUUUUUAUGCUUUAAGAAAUACAGUUGAGGGGCUGGGGUUGUGGCUCAGUGGUAGAGUGCUUCCCUAGCAUGUGUGAGGCACUGGGUCCGAUUCUCAACACCACAUAUAAACAAAUAAAUUAAUAAAGGUCCAUCAAUAACUAAUAAAAAUUAAAAAAAAAAAAGAAAUACAGUUGAAUAGGCAAAUAAUGGUAGAGUUCUUACUUAGGCUUCUUUAUUUUGAAGUGCUAAAGCCAGAAUUGAACUGAAAAUUACAGGUUUAUUUCUUUGAGAUAUACAUGGUACCUCAAUAUUAACUUGCUUUCUGAGACACAAUUAUACUUUUAAUUAUUUUUGAAAUGUGUUAAGCCACAUAAGAUUAAGAUAUGAUUAUUUUGGAUAAAAUGUUACUUUGACCAGGAAAACUUUUGUCUAAAUGAUUUUACAGGUUCAAAUGGAUUAAAGAAAUUUCCUGUAAAUCUACAGUAUUUCCCUCUAAAUUACACAAAAGAGUUAUCCUCGUUCUAAGUUUCUGUGCAGGGAUUUUUUAAGACUAGCCAUUGCACAGUUCUCUAUAUUAAUUCAUGUUCUGAAGGGAUUCACUUUUCCUUGACUUUAUAUGACAGCUGAUCAAGAACAGGUAUUAUUUUUCCCUCCCCUUUUUACAUUUUAAAUUUGAAACUGAGUAAGGAAAAAAAAAAACUAUUUUGAGUAAGUUAUUUACUUAUUUAUUUUUGGUACCAGGAAUCGAACCCAGGGGCACUUAACCACUGAGCCACAUCCCCAGUCCUUUAUAUUUUUUGUUUUGAGACAUGGUCUUGCUAAGUUGCUUAGGGCCUCACUAAGUUGCUGAGACUGGCAUUGAACUUGAUAUUCUCCUGUCUCAGCCUUCCCAGUUGCUGGAAUUACAGGUGUGUGCCACCACAUCUAGUCAUAUAAAUUAUUUAGAAAACAAAAAAGAAAUACAUUUGGACAAGGUUUCCUUUUUAUUUUUUUAAAAUUUUUUAGUCAUAGAUGGACACAAUACCUUUUAUUUAUUUAGUUUUAUGUGGUGCUGAGGAUCAAACCCAGUGCCUCUCUUGUGCUAGGCAAGCAUUUUACCACUGAGCCACAGCCUCAGCCUGCAAGGUUUCCCCUUUAUAAUACAGCUUAUGUUCAUCUGAGUAAUUUUGAGAUAACUGUUUAAUUGAUUAUUGAUGUACAUUUAUUAUUUUUUAAUUAUAAAAAUUUUGGUGAGUGGUUUAUCUGGGUUUUAUUUUGGGGGGGGAUGAUAUUCAUAAGUUAGGAUUCCUUAAUUGGGAUAUUCUUUGAAAAGGCAAAAAAAAAGCCACAAAAUAUUAAUAUUCAAGUUCUUGACUUGUCUACAGUUUAAUUCCUUUUGUGUUCUGUUCUUUGCUGUGAAUUUUUGAAGUGAAAAAAGCAAAAAUUCACUUUGAACCAAGAAGACGACUCCUCUCUCUUGUUUAUGCAGUUUCUAAAUGGCAGCUUUAAGAGAGAACUGUUGUGCUGAGUGUGGUGGCACACACUUGUAAUCCCAGCUACUCAGGAGGCUAAGGCAGGAGAAUGGCAAGUUUGAAGCCUGUCUGAGCAAUUUAGUAAGACCUUGUCUCAAAAUAAAAAGGGUUGGGGGUAUAGCUCAGUGGAAGAGCCCUUGCCUAGCAUUCACAAGCCCCUUGGUUCAAUCCCUGGGUACUGAGAAGAAAGAAAAACAAGGAAUUGUUUUCCUUCUCCAUUGUUUUUGCAUGUGAAAACAAUCCUUGUGAAACUGUUUGGGUAGUGCUGAGAAGUUACUCAUUCUAUGGCUUUUAAAAAAAAGGUACACAGUACCUUUAUUUAUUUAUUUAUUUAUUUAUUUAUUUAUUUUUAUGUGGUGCUGAGGAUUGAACUCCAGUGCCUCACACAUGCCAGGAAGGUGUUUUACCACUGAGCCCCAGCCCCAGCCUCUAUAAAUAAUGCCUUGAAGUGUAGUACAAGUGUCAGGCCACCUUCACUGAACUGUAUCUGUUCCCUGUUGCAAAAGUGAUCAAAGGUAUAUGUUUAGUCUUGAGAUUAUAGGCAUUUAUAGUUUAAUUUUUAAAGCAAAGAAGAGUUUCAUAGUAUCUUUUCAUCAACAUAGAUAUAGACCGUGUUCUUCUGGCAGCAAGUGGAAAUUAAUCUUGGAUAACCAUAGUAUCUAGCAACAAUAAUGUACAGAUACUUUGAUGUUUCACUGUGAAUAACCAAGUAAAUGGAGUGUAAAACAUCAAUUUUAUGUUUCUCUUGAGCACAAUGUAGAAUUUCACUCCUUAUAUAUAUUCUGAAGGUAUCAUUAUUUGAGGCAUUUACAGAAGACCUCAAAUAAUGAUAUCUGAGCUUUCAGACUGUUUAUUGGAGCAGUGAAUAUGUUUUACAUAUAGAUUAGGUUUCUCUGUAUGGCCUUGUAAACAUAUACACACAUUCUCAAGUAUAUCCACAGAAAGAAAUUAAUAAUAUCAAAAGGAAAAUAGUAAUUUUAAAUUGGAGAAACCUGGUGGAUUGCUUUAACAAGUGAUCAGAGUUGAAUCACCAAUAUUGGGACAAACUGUAUCUUGUACUUCCUAAUUUUGAUACUCUGAGAACACAGGUAUUCUUGCCAAAAAUGCAUGAGUUUAAUCUACUUGGUUCUAUAAAUCAACUGAUUUGUAUUCUUAAAAAAAAACUCAAGGUCAAGCUGGGUGUGGUGGCCUAUAAUCCCAGUAACUCCAGAGACUGAGGCAGGAAGAUGGCAGGUUUGAGACCAGUCUGGGCAACUUAGUGAGACCCUAUCCCAAAAUAAAAUUUUAUAAAGGGCUGGGGAUGUAGCCCAGUGAUAGGGCACUCCUGGGUGCUGUUUAAAAAAAAAAAAAGUCAAGAAGGGGAAUGAUUGAGGAAUGUUGUAGGUUAAAGGUGACUGAUACACACCACAACUAUAUCUAUGUGUGAACCUGGAGUGAAUCCUGAACAGGAAAGGAUAUAAAGUACAUUAUUGGGACAAUUAAUAGAGAUUGAAUAUAGAUCAUAGAAUAUUAUACUUUUUUGAUUUUGGUAAUUAACACCGUGUUUAUGUAAAAAUGUUCUUUUCCUUAGGAAAUAUACAUGCAGUAUAAUGGAACAUGCUGUCUCCAACUAAUUUUUGGUUAUUAAAAAAAAGUGAUGGAUGCAUGCAUGUACAUGUAUAUAUUGAGAAGAUAAUGAAGCAGAUGAGGAAAAAUAUAAACAUAGGGUGAAUCUGGGUAAAGAUUAUGUGGGAUUUCCUAGUGCUGUUCUUGCAACUUUUUUGCAAGUUUGAAAUUAUAAUAAAAAGCCAUGUAAAUAUAACUGAGUGGUGUUAAAAUUCUUUGAUCCAGUUCAUCAUUGUGGUUUCAAUUCUUUUUCUAUGUUCCUUUGCAGAAUAGCCUUUAAAUGAAAAUGCUUUGGCUGGGGAUAUAGCCCAGUAGUAGAGCCCCUUGCCUAGCAUGUGUGAGGCCCUGGGGUUCAGUCUCUGGUACUGCAAAACAACAAAAACAAAAAUGGAAAUGCUUAAUUAUGCCUUUCAAUUCUGGGGUUCUUCACGUUGCAGAAUAGCAUGCAUUAGGCUUAAAGCAGCUGUGUAUUAAAAUCAGUGGGAGAUCAAGGAAAAAUAAAAGAGUUCAGGCAGGUGGUGAGAAAACUGAAUAGAUAUACAUUUCUACUUUAAUAGUGUGGUUUCAUAAUAUUCUUUGGGAAAAAUGUAAAUUUUUAAAAUAUCAGACAUAGCCAUGUUCAAGCAAAGACAUUAUCAAAAACUGCCAAAUGGACUUUUUUUUUUUUUUUGUGUGUGUGUGUGUGUGGUGCUGGGGAUUGAACCCAGGGCCUUAUGCAUGUGAGGCAAGCACUCUACCAACUGAGCUAUAUCCCCAGCUCCCCAAAUGAACAUGUUUUUAAAAAUAUAUUUUUAGAUGUUGAUGGACCUUUAUUUUUAUUCAUUUAUUUAUAUGCGGUUCUGAGGAUUGAACCCAGUGCCUCCUCACACAUGCUAGGCAAGUGCUCUACCACUGAGCCACAACCCCAGGCCAACAUAGACAUUUUUAAAAGUACAGGAUGAAUUAUUUCUUAGCUUGAGACCUGAAAUGUUUCAGAUUUUGGAAUUUUUUGGGUUUUAGAAUAUUGAUGUAGAUUUUUAUCAUUUGAACAUAUGCUCAAAAGUUUAAGCUUUUGGAGUAGUCUGAAUUUUGGAUUUCAUCUAACCUGUUUUUAUCUAUCAAUCGAUCUAUAUCUAUCUGUGCUGGGAACUGAAUCCAGGGGCACUCUGCCACUGAGCUACAUCCCCAGCCCUUUUUAUUUAUUGAGACAGGGUCUCUCUAAGUUGCCCAGGCUGGUCUUGAAGUUGAAAUCCUCCUGCCUCAGCUCCUGAGUAGUUGGGAUUCCAGAUGCGCACCACUGAUUGAAGAAAAGCAUUGUUUAAAGAGAAGCUUUUUAGAGUCAUAUUGCCAGUAUUUGUUAUAGUAAAGAAACCUGGGGGCUGAGGAUGUAGCUCAGUGGGAAGUCAGGUGGGAGGUCUUGUUCUCACAGGUCUUGCUCAGUGGGAGGUCUUGCUUAGCAUGUGCAAGACCUGAGUUCAAUCCCCAGCAUCACACCCUGUAUGUAUAUUCUCUGUGUGCUUUAUUGGUACAAAGUAGUGAAUAGUCUAAUUACUGCCUGGCUUAUGAAACAGCUAGGAGUUGCACUUGUUUUUAUUAUUUGUGAUUUGAACCUAAUAUUUUUAGUGUGUGUGUGAAGCUUGUCUAAGUACUUUUUGUUCUUUCUUUUUUUUUUCUUUGACAGUAUUGUUAGCCCAUUGUAAAAACAAAAUUUGAAAACUAUAAAAAAGAAAAAAAAUGACCCAUAAUCACUCUUUCUAAAAGUAACUGCUGUUAAGAAUAUUUUCUUGGGCUGGGGAUGUGGCUCAAGCGGUAGCGCGCUCGCCUGGCAUGCGUGCGGCCCGGGUUCGAUCCUCAGCACCACAUACAAACAAAGAUGUUGUGUCCGCCGAAAACUGAAAAAUAAAUAUUAAAUAUUAAAAAUUAAAAAAAGAAUGUUUUCUUUUUGUAGUUUCAAAAAACAUAGUGGGCAUUAUACUUGUAUACAAUUUGACCAUGCUUCCUUCAUGUAACAUAUCAUGCACAUUGUCCCACAUCAUUAAAAAUUCUUUUGACACUGUUAUUUUUAAACUUUUAAUAAUAAUCCAUUAUAUGAUGAACUACAAUUUACUUCUUUGUUCUGAGAUAAUAAUUUUGAAGGCAAAUAACAUUGGUUAUGAGAUAUGCAUAUGGAUGAAUAUUUUAGUGCAUAUACUUUAUAAGCAGAAGUAACGAGACCUCUGUUUUUCUUGAUUUUUAUUCUUUUGAGAAGCAUUGUUUGAAGAAAAGCUUUUAAGAGUCAUAUUCAGUAUUUGUUAUAGUAAAGAAACUUGGGGGCUGAGGAUGUAGCUCAGUGGGAGGUCAUGUGAUUAGCAUGUGAAAGACCCUGGGUUCAAUCCCCAGCAUCCCCCCCCCCCCCCAACCACCCAAAAAAAAAGGAACCUGGAGGAAAUUUUUUUUUUUAUAAAAAUAUUCUUUUGUUAGUUAAUUCUUAAACAUUUGGCAAUUUAUUUCUGAUAUAUGUAUUAUGCAGAUGUUUUUCAAAUUAAUUAAAAAUUUAAUGUUUCUACUUGGCAGAUAUGAAUUUAAGAACUUUGAGACUAUUUACCUUAAAAUUAUGUAAGAUAAAUUACAAUUUAGAUCUUAAGACAUUCUAUAAUUUUAGGAUGAGUUGCAGACUGAGGGCAGUCAGCAUUACCUUUAAUGUCAGGAAGCAUAGUAGUAUAUUCUUGAUUAUAAAACACUGAAAGUGAUCUUUCACAUUAAUUCUUGGAAUUAGUGAUUAUUUUCACAUUAAAAUAUUAUUUUAUUAGUCUUAGAAUUACUUAUUUGACCAGAAAAUACACAUGAAUAGUUGAAGGUCUUCCCUUUCUUUGAGUCUUUUUGCAUUUCUUCAGCAAUAACGAGGGAUUCCUUCCUAAUAAAGCAGACACUUUUAAGUGUAUGUGUAAUAGGUUCAUUAGGGAUUGUGUAUGAAUAAAUCACAUCUCCUCUGGUGCUUAAGGUCAUCCUGAUUUAGGUAUAUGGUGGCGUCUCAUAUUUCAUAAAUGAGUACCUGAAAUAUAUAUUGCAUUCAUCUGGAAGGAGUCUAAUAGACCCACUUAAAGUACUGUUAACAUCUCUUAUAAUUUCAUGUUUUGGCAGGUAAACCUAGCCUUUAAGCAACCUGGAAAGAGGCUAGAGCACCAAGGAAUUAGAAUUGAAUUUGUAGGUCAAAUUGGUGAGUUUUAAAAUAGUAUUACUUUUUCUUUUGAUAACUUGAGUUUGAAGAGGGUUGGAUUUGGCACUUAAAUAAUUAAGAGUUAAACUUGGUGGAAGGAAGGAAUUGAUUUUGCAUAAUAAAAGAGGACUUAAUAUAUUAAAUCAGAAUGUUUCUUUUAAUUGUAUUAAAUUGCAUUUGACUCAUUCUGCCUGUAUUAUUGGAUUUUACUACUAAAACUGAAAGAUAUUAUAUAAACUACUAGCCUUGAAAAAUCAAUUGGCUCACUCACCAAAAUUUUCAUCUGUCUACAUUUUCACCAACCUUACAACUACCAGCUUCACCUUCAUUUUUCAUUCUCUAAUUAUCCAUGCCAUUUGUCUUCCUGACCUAGUGUGUGCCUGUAGCCAGACUCACCUGGUAACAGAAAAUUCCAUGUGAAAAGGAAAGGGAUGAUUUAUUCUUAGAUCAAAUUGUGUACAUUUCCAUAUAUGUAUUUUAGAGACAUUCUUGAUUUAGCUGGGAGUUAAAUUGUAUAUAAAUCUUUUAUACUAUAUAUUCAGAAAAAAGAGGGUUAGGAGUAUGGCUCAGAGAGAGGUAGAGUGCUUGCCUAAGCAUGUGCAAGACCCUGGGAUCAGAUCCCCCCAUACCAUAGAUAGAAAAGAAAGUAUGUCUUUUCAAUACUGUCUACAAAGCUAGGUUUUUAAAUCUAGUUUUCUAAGUUUUACUGUACAUUUUUAAAGCAUCAAAAAUGGAAUGGGUAGAUAUUUGUUUACAUAUUAUUCUGAAUGAGAUUGUACUUAAGGGUCAAAUUGUAAUAAUUAACUGAUAGUUGGUUUUAUUCUUUUGUGUAUUACAGUUUUAUCAAGGUAAUAUAUUUGUCCAAAACAAAACAACAAAACAGAAUUUUUGCCUUAAAGGGAAGAAGUUCAAAUAAUUGCUGGUAAUGUGUCAAACAGCUUUAUAUUGGGGGAAAUCCCUAACUACAUCAAAAGGAAUGAACUCAUUUCUGAUAGGAAUUUUCAUUGUGCUAUGCUUCUUGAAUUUAGUGAUGCCUAGGUGGAGCAUAAUAAUGGGGAUGAUAAAAUUCAGAUCAUAGUUCUAGUUUAUUAGAGACAAAUCCAACUAAUUCUUUUGGUAAAAAUUAUUUGCUUUGGAGGUAGAAGUUUGGGUUUUAUUGAAAUGGACAUUAAAAUAUAAUUAGUCUUUUGCUGUUUUAAAUUUCUUAGAACUCUUCAAUGACAAGAGUAAUACCCAUGAAUUUGUAAACCUAGUGAAAGAACUAGCCUUACCUGGAGAACUGACUCAGAGCAGAAGUUAUGAUUUUGAAUUUAUGCAAGUUGAAAAGCCAUAUGAAUCUUACAUCGGUGCCAAUGUCCGCUUAAGGUAUGAAUGUAUUACAAACUAUAAGCAGAGUCAAAACCAGAAAGUAAUGGCUCUUAUUAAUGUCUUAUUUGAACUCCUAGUUGUAAUUCUGUACUGAAGAUUUAAGGUUGGAAAAUGUUCUGCACAUUACUUUGUUUGGCUAGGACUGAUCUGAAGAGUUUUUUUUUUUUUUUUUGAUACCAGGGAUUGAACUCAGGGGCACUCAACCACUGAGCCACACCCCCAGCCCUAAUUUGUAUUUUAUUUAGAGACAGGGUCUCUCUGAGUUGUUUAGCGCCUCACUUUUACUGAUGCUGGCUUUGAACUCACGAUCCUCCUGUCUCGGCCUCCCAAAUUGCUGGGAUUAUAGGCAUUCACCAUCAAUGCCCAAUGACUGGAAGAGCUUUUUAACAUAGAUUCAGAGAAACCAUAUGAAAAGUUUCAGUUAUAUAUUUCCUUUGUGUGAAUUAUCUUUUAAGUACUUCAUUUGUGAAGAAGUACCUAAAAUUUCCAUCUGUCCACAUUUUGAACUGAAUUACUCUCCAAAUAUAUUUAUUUUCUAAUGAAUCUUAUUCAAUAUAUGGUUAAGAAGUGAUCUGGAACUCCAAAGAGGCUGACUUAUCUGAAAGUACAAAAGACGCAAAUGGCAGAACUGAAGUAGGAACCCAGUUUUCUAAAUUCUCAAUCCAGUAUCCUUUCCCUAGGUCUUCUUGCAGGAAGCCAUGAAUGCUUCAGGGACCAGGGCAAUUAAAGAUACUAAUCUGAAUGCAUCAGGUCUAAGAACCUGCUUUCUUAGCAUUGUCCAUCUGUUACUGGAUUUGACAGCCCAAAUGCCAAACAGCAGUACUUUAACUAGAUAUAGAUUUCCUUACAUAGGUUUGACAGUUUCCCUGCAAACUUAUCUGAAAAGUAUUUAUUCUUAAAAUUGAAUUUUCUUCCCCCAUAUGCGGAACAGUUUUUUUGUUUUUGUUUUUUAUUAAGAGGGCUAGGAGUAUAGCUUAGUGAUAGAAUGCAUACCUAGCAUUUGUGUGGCCCUGCACCAAGAAAAAAAAAAUUAGAACACUUUCAUAAGGUAAAUGCAAAAUGUAGUAAGUUGACCCCAAAGGAAUUCCAGCCAAGAAAAAACUGAGGUAAUGUUUGCAUAUUUAGAAUAUUUAAAUUUAUCAUAGGUGAUUUAUCUUAUUUCCUCUAUUAAUUUUAUAGGUAUUUUCUUAAGGUGACAAUAGUGAGAAGACUGACAGACUUGGUGAAAGAGUAUGAUCUUAUUGUUCACCAGCUUGCCACCUAUCCUGAUGUUAACAACUCUAUUAAGAUGGAAGUGGGCAUUGAAGAUUGUCUGCAUAUAGAAUUUGAAUACAAUAAGUCAAAGUAAGUACCUUUCACAGAUGAAUGUUCAGGGAAAAUUUAAAAAUAAGCUUUUCAGGCCUUUGUAAAUUGAUCACCAUAAGGAUAGAAUUAAUAUUAAUCUGAUGUUAACAGACUGACAGUCUCUGAGCUACAAGAAAUUUGAGGAGUUUGGUCUUGCUUCCACCCCAGGGAAAGUAUCUUUUAUAUUCUCUUCCUGAUAAGAUUCUGCUUGAUCACUUUAUGUAGAGGAUCUUAACAUCUCAGAAGUAGCCAGUUUCAUUUGUCUGUAAAAUUUACUAGCUUGAUAUCACUUCAUCCUGGCUAUUUAUUUAAACUGAAACAAAAAUUCUUUUUUUCUGACUACAUAAACAGUACUUUUUCAUUAUUGAAAAUUUGGAGGAUGUAAAAAGUGAAAGGAAGUAAAAACGUCACAUAUGUUCACCUUUACUAUUUAACCACUAAUAAUAUUCUCUUGUGUGUCUGUUUUGGGGGUGUGGUAUAUAUAUAUAUAUAUAUUUUCAAAAUGGGUUCAUACUUAUUAUUUAAUACCUUUUUAAAUUUUAUUAUGGAAGAUUUCAAACAAUGCCAAAGUACAUGAAUAUUGAAUAAUAUAAUGAAUCUUCAUGUACCCAUUGCCCAGCUCCAACAGUUACUAGCUGCUUUGUUUUGUCUGUAUUUAGCUCCCACACUUCUCAUAGACUAUAUUGAAACAAAUUCUAGACACAUAAUUUAGUCUAAAAAAUUAUGCAUUAUUUUAGUGUAACUACAAUACUAUUCAAAAAUAUUAACUCCUUAAUAUUUCUAUAAAUAUAGUCAGCAUUCACAUAACCCAAAUUGACUCAUUUUUUGUCUCUUUUUUUCACAUGAUUUGUUCAAAUCUGUAUCCAAACAAGAUCCACAAAUUUCAUUGGAUUUUUUUGACUCUUAAAUCUCAUAAUUUUAUAUUUUUCCCAUUUUUUUAUUAAAGUUUUAAUUUGUUGAAGAAAUAGAUGGCUUGUUUUAUCUCUCUUCUACAUAUUAUUCUCUUACAUAAUUUUUUAUUGUCACUGCCAACUUUAUAGCACUUAAAAUUUGAUAUAUGUGUCUAUAGAAUCUUAAAUUGUUGAUAAAUUAUCAGAUACUUGGAAACCUAAACACUUGUCACUGGAGUUUCCCUUCAGACUCAUGUGGUUGUAUUCCCAGAUUUGUUAGCACCUUAUUUCAAAGAAUUUAGCAAGGUUCUUUGAUUAUUAAAUAAUAUACAACAAAAUCAGAUCUGUGGAGGUAGCCCCAAUUAAUCUCUCUUUGAGGUCAGAUUUGUUAGUUGUAUUAUUGUAGCAUUUAUAAUGAUGCUGUUAUAUAGAACUUUUUUUUUUUUUUUUUUUUAAGAAAGAGAGAGAGAGACAGAGAGAGAGAAAGAGAGAGAGAGAGAGAGAGAAUUUUAAUAUUUGUUUUUUAGUUUUCGGCGGACACAACAUCUUUGUUUGUAUGUGGUGCUGAGGAUCGAACCUGGGCCGCACGCACGCCAGGCAAGCGCGCUACCGCUUGAGCCACAUCCCCAGCCCUAUAUAGAACUUUUAAUGUUGAAAAUAUCUUCAACUGGAGGCCAGUCUGGGCAACUUAAGCAAGACCCUCUCUCAAAAUAAAAAGAACAAUAAAAAGGGCUGAGGGUAUAGGUCAGUGAUAAAGUGUCCUGGUUCCAUUUCUAUUACAGUUGAUCAGUCAAUCAAUAAAAUGAAAAUAUAUUCAUUCACUUGAAACAAAUAUUUCAAGCAUAAAGAAUCUAAUUUUCUAUUUGGUUAACUGCUUAGAUUCUCUAGGCAAUAAGUCCUAAGUAGGACCAACAAUUCAUCAGGCUAAUUGUUCCCUCCGAGAUAUUGAAGGUCAAGUAAAAGUUUGAUAGCAUACUUUAUCAUAGUGAAAUGAAAAGGGACCUGAAACAUUAUGAAUAGUCAAAAUGGUAUUCUUAAAGUUGUUAUCUUAAAGAUACCUAUUAAAGCCUUCCAUGGCUUAUUUCACUCUUUUUCUUGUUUUUAAAAUAUACUUAGUGAUAUGUAUUUUCUCCCAAUAGAUAUCAUUUAAAGGAUGUGAUUGUUGGAAAAAUUUACUUCUUAUUGGUAAGAAUAAAAAUACAACACAUGGAGUUACAACUGAUUAAAAAAGAGAUCACAGGAAUUGGUAAGUUGAAGAAAGUAUUUGAAUUAAAAUUUCCUUCUUUUAGUUGAAAUUUUAGAAAUCUCGAAAUUUUAUUUCAACAUAAAAUCAUUUGAUAUCCACAUUGGAAACUGACUUUGCUUUGCUGCCUAUAAGAAAUCCACUUAAUGCUUUUUUAAAAACUGGUUUUUGAGCUGGGUGUGGUGGCAUGCAUCUGUAGUAGGACCACCUGUUCUGAAGACUGAGGCAGGAGACUCUCUUGAGCUCAGGAGUUCAAGGCCAGCCAGGACUACACAGCAAGACCACAUCUCUUAAAAAUAUAAAGAAAUACAUAAAAAUUUGAAUAGGUGGCAAUUUCACUUUGCUCAACAAGUAUGAAAGACUAUAUGGUAGCCAGGCAUGGUGGCACAUGCCUGUAAUCCUGGUGACUAGGGAGAUUGUUACAAGAGGAUCACAAGUUAAAGACCAGCAUGGGUAAUUUAGCAAGAACCUGUCUCAAAGAAUAAAAAAGGGCUGGGGGUGUGACUCAGUGGUAAAGUGCUCCUGGGUUCAGUCCCCAGUACCGAAAAAAAUAAUAAAUAAAUAGGGCUGGAAAUGUACCUCAGUGGUUGCCUAGCAUAUAUGAGGUCCUGGAUUCAAUCCCUGGUACAAAAAAAAAAAAAAAAAAAACAGUAAAAAGUAUCAUAUUUUAAUACUUAAGUUAUUAAUAGGUAAUACAUUUAUAAGUUUUUAAAUCCUCCUAGAAGCUGGGCACAGCAGCAUGUGCUAUAGUGCCAGCUACUUUGGAGGCUGAGGAAAGAGAAUUACUUGAGCCCAGGAGUUCAGGGUCAACCUGGGAAACAGUGAAACCAUGUCUUUUUUGAUAAAAGGUGAAAGAUUUAUACAACCUAAAGAGAAACCAGAGUAUGAGACCCUAUCUCUUAAAAAAUAUUUAUAAUUGGUUAUCAAAAUAAUAAAUAUCUGGGGCUGUAGUUGUGGCUCAGUGUUAGAGUGCCUAAUGUGUGAGGCACUGGGUUCGAUUCUCAGCACUGCAUAUAAAUAAAUAAAGGUCCAUCGACAACUAAAAAAUAUAUAUUUAAAAAAAUGAGAAACAUCUGUGAUUUUUUAAUCUCCAUUUUUUCACAUGCUAGCAAAAAGUAAGUGAUUUUAAGAUACUAAAACACAACUUGAGCCAGGAGUGGUGGUGCUCACCUAUAAUCCCAGUGCCUCAGAGUAUUGCAAGUUCAAAGCCAGCCUUAGCAACUUAGGGAGGCCCUAAGCAAGUUAGUGAGACCCUGACUCAAAAUAAAAAACAAAAUGGGCUGGGGAUAUGAUACCAAAAGAAAAAAACAAAUAAACAAAAAACCCCAACAAUAACACAAAAACGUUACUUGAGUUUCUCAUUUGUUGUUUAAAAAGAAAUUGUUUAAACUUUUUUUUUUUAAUAUUUAUUUUUUAGUCGUAGUUGUACACAAUACCUUUAUUUAUUUAUUUUUAUGUGGUGCUGAGGAUUGAACCCAGGGCCUCGCACAUGCUAGGCGAGCGCUCUACUACUGAGCUACAACCCCAACCCCUAAACUUUUUUCUUGAUAAAAAAAUUAUGUUCUAGUAUAGAAAAUUUUUAAUUUUUGAUACUGAGGGAUUGAACCCAGGGGAACUUUACUACUGAGUAACAUCCCCAGUUUUUUUUUAUUUUGAUGCAAGGCCUUGCUAAAUUGCUGAGACUGACCUCAAACUUGCAAUCCUUCUGCCUCAGCCUAUUGAGUCACUGGGAUUACAACUGUGAGCCACCACUCCCAGCAAUUGCAGAAAAUUUUAAAUGAGGCGUUGUUCCCUCAUCCAGCUCUCCAUCCUCUUAACCACUUCCACUGCUUCGGACUUGGGCAGCUUUAUCACCAGAGUCCCUGAACUCCAGCUUUCUUUUUAACCUACUGCAUUGCAUCACCAGUGUGUCCCCCCAUGUCAGACGCUGCCAUGGACACUAGCUCUGAGAUCACCACAGAAGACUUAGAGGAGAAGAAGUUGUGGAGGAGGCAGCUAAUGAAAGGAUGCCCCUGCUAAUGGCAAUGCUAAUGAGGAAAAGGGGGAGCAGGAAGCUGACAAUGAGGUAGAUGAAAGAGAGGAAGAGGAGGAGACCAUGGCAGCUGCCAAAAAAUGGGCAGCUGAAGAUGUCGAGAAUAAUGAUAUGUUGAUGCCAAGAAGCAGAAGACUGAUGAGGAUGACUAGACAGCAAAGAAUGAAAAGUUAAACUGAUUAAGGAAUAAAGAAAGUCCACUGUGAAUUAUUCACCCUCCACUUCCCAUCUCAGAAUCUAAACAUUGUUACCUUUGGGUAGAGAGUGCUCCUGUCUGCCCACCUUGGGCACCAUCUUCAGAUGAUGUACUUUCCACCACCCAAUCAAAACCACAGUGUGAAUAUUGAAGACGGGAGGUGAAAAAGAACCAACACUUCAAGACCCUGAAUUUUUUUCUUAAAAGUACUUUAAGAAAGGAAAAUUUGUUCGCAUUUUUUAUUUACAUUUUAAUUUUUGUACAUAUUAUUAGUAGUCAGCCAUUUUUUUUUAAAGAGAGAGAGAGAAAAUUUUAAUAUUUAUUUAUUUUUUUAGUUUUCAGCGGACACAACAUCUUUGUUUGUAUGUGGUGCUGAGGAUUGAACCCGGGCCGCACGCAUGCCAGGCGAGCGCGCUACCACUUGAGCCACAUCCCCAGCCCAGUAGUCAGCCAUUUUUAAUGAUCUUGAGCAGACAAGACUUUGGAGCGUUUUCCGUCCUACUUGUGAUUUUACUUAUGUUAUUACCGUGUUCAUUAUAAUCUCAAAGGAGAAAAAAAAAAAACGAGAAAAAAAUAAUCUUCUUUUUUUUUUACCAGGGAUUGACCAAGGGGCACUUAAUCACUGAGCCACAUCCCUAGCCCUUUUUUUAUAUUUUAUCUGACAGGAUCUCGAUAGGUUGCUUUGUGCCUUGCUAAGUUGCUGAAGCUGGCUUUGCGAUCCUCUUACCUCAGCCUCCUAAGCAGCUGGGAUCACAUGCUUGUGCCACCACAUCUGGCUAAAAAAAAAAAAAAAAAAAAAUCUUAUCCCAAGCAUUCCAGUAUUUUUUUUUUUUUGGUAUACUUACUUUCUUUUUAAAUAUUUUUUUUAGUUGUUGAUAGACCUUUAUUUUAUUUAUUUAUAUGUGGAACUGAAAAUCAAACCCAGUACCUCACACGUGCCAGGCAAGUGGGCUACCACUGAGCCCGAGCCCCAGCCCCAGCCUUGUAUAUAUACUUUAGCUAUACUAUAAGUAGUUGGUUUGUAUGAGGUGGUUAAAAAGGCCAAAGAUAGGGCUGGUGAUAUAGCUCAGUUGGUAUAGUGCUUGCCUUGCAUGCAUAAGGCCCAGCGUUCAAUCCCCAGCACUACACACACACACACACAGACACACACAAAAGGCCAAAGAUAAAAAUGGUCCCUCCCCCCUUAUUUGUAUAUGAAGUUGCUCUUUAUUUUUUUGGCCUCUUUGAUGUAUGUGUGAAACAAUGUUGUCCAACAAUAAAUCAGAAUUUUAUUUUGCUAAUUUGUUCUAACAAAAGAAAAAGAAAAUUUUAAAUACAAAAAAUUUACUCAUCAGCAACAACAGCCUUUAAUCUUUAAUACUAAGAGUAAGAGUAGAUCAAGCCAGGUGCGGUGGCACAUACCUGUAAUCCCAGCAGCUUGGGAGGCUGAGGCAGGAAGAUUUCGAGUUCAAAGCCAACCUCAGCAAAAGCGAGGUGCUAAGCAACUCACUGAGACCCUGUCUCUAAAUAAAAUAUAAAACAGGGUUGGAAUCUGGCUCAGUGGUUGAGCGCCCCCAAUCCCCAGUACCAAAAAAAAAAAAAAAAGAGUAGAUCAAAAACUAUAAAUGAAUGAGGAACAUUUUCACAAAAUGGGGAAAAAAUAAUAGUAAAAUAAUGUGGUUGGAAAUAGAAGAAGGUAUAAGGCUGGGGAUUAUAUUCUGGAAGUAUUUAAAUUAAUGCCAUUUACAUUAUUACAUUUACCAGGACCCAGUACCACAACAGAAACAGAAACAAUCGCCAAAUAUGAAAUAAUGGAUGGUGCACCAGUAAAAGGUAACACUCUUCCCAUUUACUUCUGUGUACGGCAAACAGAAGUGUUUUGGUCAGUUUAGUUUGUGAAUAUUCAUUCAUUAUAAAAGUAUUUAUGAAUUUCUUUUUCCCACAUUUUUGUUGUUGCAUUAUAAUUGUACAUACUAACGGGAUUUCUUGUUAUAUUUAUGAAUUCUUAAAAUGGUUCUUAUGAUGAUUUUUUUUUUUAAGGAUCUCUGUAUAGCUGCUGAGAAGACUGUAAUAAUACUUCCUAGUCGGAAAUAAAUUUGGUUAAAUAUUUCACUCAGUUCAAAUUUAGAAUUCAGAAGAGACAAUUUUGUGCAUCUCCUUUCUGGUUCUGAAUUUGUAAUUUUUUAUUGUUUUCUGUUAUAAUAGUUCAUCUUUGUACAUCUUUUUAUUCUCACAUUGACCAUAAGAUGCAGUAUAACUGAGCAUUAAUUCCUGUCAGAUUUUGGAGUCGUCAUAGUCUCUAAAAAAAAAAAAGAGCAGUUAGUUCCCUAACUAGAUAACCUUUAGUGUCUGAGACCUCCUGAGCUGAUUUCAGGUUUGCACCACCACAUUCAGCUCUAAAACUUACUUUUUAUAUGAAGUAUUUAUCAUAAAACUUAUUCUCAUUUGAAAGACAGGCUUUGGUGAGUUUUGAAUGAAGAUCUAUAUAACAGAAAACUUAAAUCAUAGUUAAAUAGUAAUUUAGAAGAGAAAGUUCACUCCAUUAAGGUGGCCAUAAUGCUGUAUAAUUCAACAUAUGUAAUUUAUAAUUUUAAAAUAAGUUACAUGAUAUUUGCAAUUUCCAAAUCAGUUGCACGUUAUGGCACUACUGGAGAAAGUGUUUUGUUUCCCACAGGCAUUCAUUUGAAAGACUGUUGUAUAUGUAGGUUUUAAAAAAAAAAAUUUUGUCUGAAUUUUUUUCACUUUGGAAUUACUUCAAAAAGUAGCUACCAUUUAUGGAGUACAGGUUGUGGAUGAGGCAUUGCAGGUGAGGUGCUCUAAAGCUCCCUACCACUGUUCAAGUUAGGUGCUUAUAUCCUGUAUUUUACACCUUGAAAUUAAGGUGCCAAGGUUCAAAACUAUACUAAAGGUGGGGGAGCUAAUCAUUACAGAGGAGAGGUUUGAACCUAGACCUUUUUGACUCUAAAGCCCAUAUGUUUGUACUUAUGUUAUACAACAUUACUUGCAAAAUUUCACCACCCAUACAUUUUUAUGAAGUGAUGGAUUUUAUACCUUUCAACAAAUAAAUGUGCAUAAAAAAUACUACAUAAAAUAUUAAAAAGAGAACAUGCAAAUAAUUACUGUCCUUAGGAAAACAGAAGCCAUGUGAACUUUUUGGUAAUGAAGGCAUGUUGUCGUUCUGUACAUGUUUGUUUUAGAUGGAUUAGUAAAAAGUUUUUAACAUUUUACACAUGAUUAGAAAUUAGGUAAACUUGUGAAAGUAGAAAAAUAAACUAAACUACUGGCUGGCACUGUUGUAAAGUCUAUGUAUUUUAACCCACAUAGCUCUUAUAAAUUCCCUAUUGGAGGAGUAUUGCUUGUCUUCAUUUUACAGUGAGGAAUUCGAAACAGAAUAAGUCCUCAAAGCCAAGGUCUUAUAGCCAGUAAGUGGUGGAACUGAAAUUUGACAUAGGCAUUUUGACUCUAGAGCAUUGAUUCUCAUCAAGGGGCAACUUUGUCCUCCAAGUGACAUUUGGUAUUGUCUGGAGACAUUUUUAGCUGUCAUAGUUGGGGAGUGCUCCUGGCUUCUGGUGGGUAGAGGCCAAGGAUGCUGCCAAGUGCAUAGGACCUUCCCCAUAACAACCAAUUAUCCAGCCCAAAAUGUCAGUAGUGCCUAUUGCUGCAUCUCAUGAGGAAGAGGAAUGUAAGCAUUAGUGUCUCCCCUGUAAUGCUUAGUCCUAGGUUUUAUGUGACUAAUCAUCUUUUAGAAUUAAACGGAAAUUGCUUUUAUUUCAGGUGAAUCCAUUCCAAUAAGACUGUUUUUAGCAGGCUAUGAUCCAACACCAACAAUGAGAGAUGUGAACAAAAAAUUUUCAGUAAGGUACUUCUUGAAUCUAGUGCUUGUUGAUGAGGAAGACAGAAGGUACUUCAAGCAGCAGGUAUGGUUCCACCCACGCUAGUCAUUUUAGAUGUAAAAUCACCGAGAAAGCACUCUCUUUUCUAAGCAUCAUACUGGGCAGGUCGGGUGGGGGAGGUUCUAAAUAAUUUAAAAUACUGAGGGUAUAAUAAAGAGUAGGUAUUGUGAUAGACCUCUCCCCAGUCAUUCUGUAGGAUUCUGAAAUGAGCUGUAAUUUUUCAAGGCUUUUAUUUUUUUCUCUUAAAAAGCUUUUUUUUUUUUUUUUUUUUUUUUUUAAGUAGAAACAAUAUAGCAGUACUUGCUGUUCAAAAAAAUUCAAGCAAUUAAGAACAAAGAAGGUGGGGCUGAGGCUGUUGCUCAGUGGUAGAGCAUUUGCCUAGUAUGCGUGAGGCACUGGGUUUGAUCCUUGGCACCACAUAAAAAUAAAUAAAUAAAAUAAAGGUAUUGUGUCCAUCAACAAAUGGAAAAAAAAAAGAACAAGGAAGUAAAGGCCAACAAAAUUCCUUUUAAAAAAUCAAUAGUUUCUUGAAUAUUUUUCUCAAUUACUAUAGAUCUCCAUGGUCACUUUUUUUUUUGGUGGUGGUGGUACUGCAGACUGAACUCAUGGCUUUACCUGGGCUUAGACAAGUACUCUACUACCUAGCUACAUCCUAGCCCUUUAUUUAUUUAUUUUAAAGAGAGAGAAAGAGAUAUUUUUAAAUAUUUAUUUUUCAGUUUUCGGUGGACCCAACAUCUUUAUUUUAUUUUUAUGUGGUGCUGAGGAUCAAACCCAGCGCCCCUGCGUGUUACCACUUGAGCCACAUCCCCAGCCCCCCUAGCCCUUUAUUUUAAGAUAGGGUUUUGCUAAGUUGCUUAAGCUAAUCUUGAACUUGUGAUCCUCCUGUCUCAGCCUUUUGCGCCUAGGUUGUUGUAUUUUUUUGUUGUUGUUGUAGUUGUUAUUUUGGUGCUGGGGAUUGAACCCAGAGGCCCAUAACUACUGAGCCAUAUCCCCAGCCCAUUUUAUUUUUUAUUUUGAGACAGAGACUGGUAAGUUGCUUAGGGCCUUGCUAGUUGCUGAGACUGGCUUUGAAUUUGUGAUCCUCCUGCUUCAGUCUCCUGAGCCACUGGGAUUACAGGCAUAUGCCACCACACCCAGGAUUGUUUCUUAAUGAAGGCUACAUUUGAAGGAUUUGGAGGUUUUCAUUUUUCCCUUAUUAAGCAGUUUUGUUAUAAAUGUACGCGUGUUGACUCAGCCCUAAUACUUCUUUUUUUUUUUGGUACUGGGGAUUGAAUCUGGGGGUGCUUAACUACUGAGCCAUAUCCCAGCCCUUUAUUUUAUUUAGAGACAGGCUGUCCAUAAGUUGCUGAGGCUGGCUUUAAACUCGUGAUCCUAUUUCCUUAACCUCCUGAGCCACUGGGAUUUCAGGUGUGCACCACCACAUUCAGCUCUAAAACUUACUUUUUAUAUGAAGUAUCUAUCAUAAAACUUGUUCUUAUUUGAAAAUCAGCCUUUGGUGAGUUUUGAAUGAAGAUUUAUAUAACAGAAAACUUAAAUCAGUUAAAUAGUAAUUUAGAAGAGAAAGUUCAGGGAGGGGAGGGGGGAUAGUAGGGGAUAGGAAAGGCAGCAGAAUACAACAGUCACUAAUAUGGCAUUAUGUAAAAAUUGUGAAUGUGUAACUGAUGUGAUUCUGCAAUUUGUAUUUGGGGUAAAAAUGGGAGUUCAUAACUCACUUGAAUCAAAUGUAUGAAAGAUGAUAUGUCAUGAGCUUUGUAAUGUUUUGUACAACAAAAAAAAGAAGAGAAAGUUCACUCCAUUAAGGUGGCCAUAGUGCUGUAUAAUUCAACGUAUGUAAUUUAUAAUUUUAAAAUAAGUUACAUGACAUUUGGAAUUUCCAAAUCAGUUGCACGUUAUGGCACUAUUGGAGGAAGUGUUUUGUUUCCCACAGGCAUUCAUUUGGAAGGCUGCUGUAUGUGUUGUUUAAAAAAACAAAAAAACCACUAUCUAGUCAUCACUUGAUGAAGGAGAUUAUGUUAGGAAUUGGUUAGAGUUAGGAUUUAGGCAGAGUAACAAGGAUUUGAUUAUGUAAGGGAAAUGCUAGGACAUUUGGCGUGCAUUACAGGUAGAGAGUGAUUGAUUUUGACUGGUAGGGGAGAAGCAUGUAUGGAGGGAAGCUGGUCGUGUUUUAGAUUUAGGAUAUGGAGGGCCCUGAAUAUGUUUGGAGAUUUAUCCUGAGGCACUGAUAACUAUUGAAGAGUAAUUCAAACAAUGUUUUACAAGAUUAAUCUGGUAGUGAUAUGAAGGAUGAAUUAGAAAGGGGUCUCAGGCAAGAGCCAUCUAUGAGGAAGUUGGUUUAGUAUCUAAGGUUGAAAUGACAAAAGAGUUUGAACUUGGAUGAGGGCAGUGUAACAAGAAGCCACAGGAUAGAUUUUAGGACUUUCUUUAAAGCAGUAAUAGCCAGGACUUUGUUCCAGAUUUGACUGGCAAUGUUGUGCCUGAUGCUGGUUCAGGGAGCAGGGAGGCAUAAGAUACAGUCCAGGAUUGAAAUCAGAAGAAAGUGCUUAGUCAGGAAAGAUUUUAUUUAUUUAUUUUUUAUUUAUUUUUUUAAAUUUACGUAUGUGGUGCUGGGGAUCAAAUCCAGGGCCUUGUGCAUGCAAGGCAAGCAUUCUACCAAUUGAGCUGCAUCCCCAGCCCAAUCAGGAAAGAUUUUGUAGAGAGAAAUUUAAUUGUGUUAAAAUUGAAGUAGCAGUCAGUAUUUCCAUGGUGAAAAUUGAAGACAUAAUGGAGAACAUUAAUUUGUUGCUAUCUCGCACUUACUUUUGUAGGAAAUCAUCUUAUGGAGAAAAGCUCCUGAAAAACUGAGGAAACAGAGAACAAACUUUCACCAGCGAUUUGAGUCUCCAGAGUCACAGGCAUCUGCUGAACAGCCUGAAAUGUGAACUGAAAAGAAGGGAAAAAAAACAAAAAACUGUAACUGUUGAAAUUAAGUUCAGCAGGUUAAAGAUGGUUGCAGCUUGUAGGGGCGGGGUGGGGGGAAGCCAAAACUCCAUGCAUAACAGUCUUCCUUUAUCUUACAGUGCUGCAUUUACUUUACAGUAUAACUAAAUGUACGUACCUACAUUUUACAAAGUGCUUUCUUUGAGACACUGGAGAUUUCUUAGGCUGCCCUUAUUUUUUUUUUUUAACUGCACACUUUGAUGAUGAGCACUCAGAUAUGCAUCAGCAUAAACAUUAAAGAUUUUCAUGCAGGUAGGCUGGGAUUUGUAAUUUUGCUUUCUUUCUGCAUAAUGUUGAUUAUAAAUCUUUUUCUCCUUUUUUUUUCUUUUUUGCUAAUGAUUACCUCUUACUCUCUCCAUGCAAAAAAUCAAAUAUUUUGUGUUCAAAUAAAACUAGAAAACCUGAUUAGCCCUUACAUCCUGCAAAGACUUAAAAUAUAGCAUCUCGGUGUUUUUGAGAAUUCCAUUUGUUUUUAUGUAUGUAUUUGAGAAAUGUAUAUGAAUUUUUUCAUUGUAGGUGUUUCUGGGUCUGCCAUUUCAUGGCUUCUUGUGUUUUAUCCUCUUUGAAGUCUUUUAUAGUAUGAAUGUAAAAUUUUUUCCCAAGGGAUGAGAUGGCUUUUCAUUUUGGCACUUGUGUCCCACUGCCUCAUAUUAAGUAACCAUUUUGCUACAACUUUCCAGCAGUACUACCAUAUGUGUUCUGCAGUGUGGAGUUGAUGUAUGUUGGCAUUUUAGAACUUGCUAAAACUAUAUGAAUUUUUCCAUAAAUACUUUGAAACAUAUGUGUAUAUAUAUAUAUUUUUAAAUUUAAAGAGUCUUUUUGCCACAUUUAUGCAAAUAUCAUUUUCUUGACUUUACAAAUUUGUUCUUUUUACUUUUCAGUGGAAAAUUUGGGGGACUCAGGAGGAACUUGUGAAGCAUGUAGCUAACCCAGAUAUGCACAGUUUCAUGUUUGUUAAACUGGAGCUUUGGCUAGUUCAAACUCCAUUAAACUUCACCAGUCUGUUUUAAUUUUUUUUUUAAACACUAAAGUCAUUUGUUCAACAUCUCUUAAAAGAAGGUUGCAGUUAUCUGAUCAUAUAUAUGGGAUCUGAUCUCAAAUACACUAAAUGUGGAGCGUGGGAACCAAAACAAAGCCUCCUAUGUGAAAACUAUUUUCACUUAUGGUUCAUUGGUUUUUGUACCAAUAUUUAAAAAUACUUCAGUGCAAGUUUUGUCAGUUAACCUUACUUUAUGAGUAAGCUAAAUAAUCCAAAUUACAUUUCUUUAAACCUGUUUUACUACUAUGGCACUUUGAUAAAAUGGUCAGUAACCAACUUUAUUUACUGGCCAAAGGUUCCAUGUACCAUGUGCUGGAGCAUCUAUUUUAAAUGGGGGUAUCUAUGAAUGGUAACGUUUUCCUUCAUGUAAGUGCCUGUUCAGAGUUUCAAAAUUUAAAAAUGCCAAAUAUUUUCAUGGUCACUUGCAUGUAGUAAUCUAGAAAAUAUUCAAAGAUUUUGAAAACCAAGUUGUAUUUAACCAGCCUCAAAUUGUGCAACCAUGUAUAAUAAAGAAUUUGAAACAGAAACUGAGCUUGCAGUUUG